UACGUAGGAGACGAGCGUUGUCCGGAGUUACUGGGCGUAAAGGGUGCGCAGGCGGCCUGGCGCGUCGCGAGUGAAAUCUCCUGGCUCAACUGGGAGGGUGGUCGCGAGACGGCUGGGCUUGAGGCUCGGUGAGGGGCGUGGAAUUCCGGGUGGAGCGGUGAAAUGCGUAGAGAUCCGGAGGAACACCGGUGGCGAAGGCGGUCUGCUGGGCAGUUGCUGACACUGAGGCGCGACAGCGUGGGGAGCAAACAGG
rnacentral:rRNA from 1 species